rnacentral:rRNA from 1 species
UACGUAGGUGGCAAGCGUUGUCCGGAUUUACUGGGCGUAAAGAGCGCGCAGGCGGUCGUUCAAGUCGCGUGUGAAAGCCCCCGGCUCAACUGGGGAGGGUCACGCGAUACUGAUCGACUCGAAGGCAGGAGAGGGUAGUGGAAUUCCCGGUGUAGCGGUGAAAUGCGUAGAUAUCGGGAGGAACAUCAGUGGCGAAGGCGGCUACCUGGCCCAAUACUGACACUCAGGUGCGACAGCGUGGGAGGCAAACAGG